AUUGUUAAAUGUUACAAGCAAUAUUUUCAAUAAAUGAAAAUCAAUUUUAUCGCAAAUGUGGGCAAUUACAGGGCCCUUUGUGGGGUGUAUGGAAGGGAUGUAGUUGAAGCACAUCACCAAGCUUGCUUGUAUGCAUAAACAUUUCAGGAUCUAAUGCUGAAGUUAUGUCUACUCGGGUAAACAUUUCAGAACUUAUAACAUAAAUAGAAAUAAUUUUAAAUAUAACUGUAUAUUUUUUCAAUAUCAGUGGGAAUAUCAAGUUGUACCGUGCCUAGGAAUUGGAAUCGGGGACUAUUUGUAGAUGUCCCGAUUCAUCCUGCAUAGAGUCGCUGAAGAAUUUGGUGUUUGUGCUACCUUGGAUCCAAAAUCCCUUGAAACUGGAAUGGAUCAGGUGCCCACUGCAAUUUCUCAACAAAGACGAUUGGGAAGAAAACGGAAUAUUACAUAUUGAAAAUGCCAUUGACAAACUGUCGAAACAACAUCUGAGGCACAUUAGGGCUUAUGAUCCCAAGGAAGGCAAAGA